UUCAUUCUUGUCUCUCUUGUCUUCGCCUCUAUUCAUCGCCCGCCGCCCACCGAAAAUUGCCUACAAUGGUGGGGUCCCACCAAAAAGCCCCAAAUUUUCACCAAUCAAUCCCCUUCACCUCCUCUUUCUAAGCCCCUUAACCUUGUCUCUCAAAUCCCCGUAAGUUUUCUCGAUUUUUAGAUGUGAGAUUCCAAAAAACCUAGCUUUAUUCCCCUUUGAUUUCUUCAGUAUUUCUAUUUGUUUUGCCUUGAAACUCACGUGAAUCGAUUGCUCUUGACAAGAGUAAUCAAUUUAUGUUAGUUUUGAUUCAUUACAAGAUCGCCGAAAAUUGGUCAAACCUCUUUGACUAGCUAGUUUUCUCGCAAAACCUUCAGCUCCUCUUGAAGUCUGGUAAGCAACUGGAAUUGUCACAUAUAACAUUAGUCCGUUUGAGAAAUUGACAGUCAACGUUUGUGUGACAAUUCCUCUUGCCCGCCGAAAUUUGUUUGCUCACCUUAGUCUGUUCAGCACUGUAUUUAAUCUCACUCACCUGUCCUUUUAAGUUGAUUGGUAUACCUCCUUUCCUUUUUCUGUAAUUUCCCUAAUGACCAUGUAUUUCUAUUUCUAUUAAGUAGAUUUAGUUAAUAAGUUAGAUUAAUUCGUGAUUAAUUGUCAGAUUUUAGUCUAGUUACAUGUUUAAUCAAUAAAGCUGCAUAUUUGUUUUUGUUAGAAAUGAUGUUUGUUUUGUUAAUUCGAACAUAAUAUGGGAAUGUGUUCUCUAUUUGGAUUUAGUUUUACCGAAAUUGGGUUUUAUUUCAUUAGAUGGGCAAGCCCAUUGAAUCCAGAUUUUAGUGAAGAAAGGGAUUGGGACUGUGGGUCUGAUAAUGAAAGUUUUAGGCAUUGAAUAUUGGUUUUAGGGUAAAUACAGAGUUUCCUAAGGGGUAGUCUUGGAAUUAGAGGGGAGGGAAUCUAUUCUCUAACUAAUUUGGAAGCUCCUACAAGAUGAAAAAGGACUAAAAUGCAAAAGAAAAGGGGUUAAAGAGGGUCGGAUUUGAGGGGACUGAGAUGUAAAAAAAUAGAAAAAUAAGGGGCAACAAGAAAAGAAAAUAACAGGAAAGAUGCUGAAGAAUCUGUUAUAAAAUAGUACACCAUCUUCGCGCUUUAGUCAUUCAUUGUCAUUCUCACACAAUCUGCAUUUCACUCUCCUCUCACCCAUUUACAUUAACAUCUCACUCAUCCUCACCCUCAUUCACACAAAUACACACAAAACAGUUGAGGAAAAGUUUGAAAUUCAAAAGAAAAAAUCUGAGAUCUGAAAGAAAAACUUCAAAGAAGG
rnacentral:lncRNA from 1 species